CCGAGGGAGUUUAGUGGCGGACGGGUGAGUAAUACAUGGGUAACGUACCUCGGACACAGGGAUAGCGGCGCCCCGCAAGGGGCUUUAGCGAAAGUGCCGGUAAUACCUGAUGAUAUCCCGAUUCGGCAUCGGAUUGGGAUCAAACGGUGGGGACCUUCGGGCCUACCGGUCUGGGAGCGGCCCAUGCCCUAUCAGCUAGUUGGUGAGGUAAUGGCUCACCAAGGCUAAGACGGGUAGCCGGCGUGAGAGCGCGACCGGCCACAUCGGGACUGAGACACUGCCCGGACACCUACGGGUGGCUGCAGCAACGAAUAUUCCGCAAUGGGCGCAAGCCUGACGGAGCGACGCCGCGUGGGGGAUGAAGUCCUUCGGGAUGUAAACUCUAAUAGUAUGUUAGGAAGCAAGUCGACCUAACACGUCGGCAAGUUGACCGACAUACGAAAGGGGCGGCUAACUCCGUGCCAGCAGCCGCGGUAAGACGGAGGCCCCGAGCGUUGUUCGGAAUCACUGGGCUUAAAGCGCGUGUAGGCGGGACGGUAAGUACCUUGUGAAAUCCCCGGCUUCAACCCGGGAACUGCUCGGUAUACUGCCGUUCUUGAGGCAGGUAGGGGUCACUGGAACCUUAGGUGGAGCGGUGAAAUGCGUAGAUAUCCAAGGGAACGCCUGUGGCGAAAGCGGGUGACUGGGCCUGUCCUGACGCUGAGACGCGAAAGCGUAGGGAGCAAACGGGAUUAGAUACCCCGGUAGUCUACGCCGUAAACGAUGCGCACUAGGUUCGAGAGCUUCUGA
rnacentral:rRNA from 1 species